GGAUGUGAGGGAGAUCUGGCUGAGACAUCUGUCAUCCCAUUGAUCAACAGGGUUGAUCUGGUGAUCUGAGUGUCACUGUGGGUGUCCCCUUCCUCCUAUUCCACACCAUGUGCAUCCCUUCCAAAGCUUUGCACUCAAAGAGAAGGACUUCCCCCCCCCCCCCCCCCCCCCCGAUAAAGAUGGCUCUGUCGAGCAUUCCUCUGUUGGAAACUCCACGCAAGCUUUGGAGUUCGUGUUGAGCUGAGCUCCG
rnacentral:lncRNA from 1 species